ensembl:misc_RNA 7SK 7SK RNA
AAAUGUGAGGGAGAGCUGGCCAUGACUUAUGUCACCCCAGUGAUGGCCAGGGUUGAUUUGCUGAUGUGUCUGGCUAGGCAGGUGUCCCCUUCCUCCAUCACCGCUCCACGCGUGUCCCUCUCGAAGCUGCACGCUGGAUCGAAGAGGACGAUCUUCCCUAAAUAGAGGACCGGUCUUUGGUCAAGGGUAUGCUGUUGGGAGAUGUCAUCCUGUAAAUAUGUGUCUGACUGGUUUGAAUGAAGCACUGUUGGCCAAU